rnacentral:rRNA from 1 species
CCUACGGGAGGCAGCAGUGGGGAAUAUUGGGCAAUGGAGGAAACUCUGACCCAGCAACGCCGCGUGAAUGAUGAAGGUCUUCGGAUUGUAAAGUUCUUUUCUAAGGGAAGAAGAAAGUGACGGUACCUUCGGAAUAAGCCUCGGCUAACUACGUGCCAGCAGCCGCGGUAAUACGUAGGAGGCAAGCGUUAUCCGGAAUGACUGGGCGUAAAGGGUGCGUAGGUGGUUUGACAAGUUGGUAGCGUAACUCCGGGGCUCAACCUCGGCACUACUACCAAAACUGUCGGACUUGAGUGCAGGAGGGGCAAAUGGAAUUCCUAGUGUAGCGGUGGAAUGCGUAGAUAUUAGGAGGAACACCAGUGGCGAAGGCGAUUUGCUGGACUGUAACUGACACUGAGGCACGAAAGCGUGGGGAGCAAACAGGAUUAGAUACCCCAGUAGUC